UACGUAGGGUGCAAGCGUUAAUCGGAAUUACUGGGCGUAAAGCGUGCGCAGGCGGUUCGUUGUGUCGGUGGUGAAAGCCCCGGGCUUAACCUGGGAAUGGCCGUGGAAACUGGCGAACUGGAGUGUGGCAGAGGGGGGUGGAAUUCCGCGUGUAGCAGUGAAAUGCGUAGAGAUGCGGAGGAACACCGAUGGCGAAGGCAGCCCCCUGGGCUGACACUGACGCUCAGGCACGAAAGCGUGGGGAGCAAACAGG
rnacentral:rRNA from 1 species